rnacentral:rRNA from 1 species
AACGAACGCUGGCGGCAUGCCUAACACAUGCAAGUCGAACGAGACCUUCGGGUCUAGUGGCGCACGGGUGCGUAACGCGUGGGAACCUGCCCUUAGGUUCGGAAUAACUCCCCGAAAGGGGUGCUAAUACCGGAUAAUGUCUUCGGACCAAAGAUUUAUCGCCUUUGGAUGGGCCUGAGUUGGAUUAGCUUGUUGGUAGGGUAAAAGGCUAUCAAGGCGACGAUCCAUAGCUGGGAUGAGAGGAUGGUCAGCCACACUGGGAGUGAGACACGGCCCAGACUCCUACGGGAGGGAGCAGUGGGGAAUAUUGGAAAAUGGGCGAAAGCCUGAUCGAGCAAUGCCGCGUGAGUGAUGAAGGCCUUAGGGUUGUAAAGCUCUUUUACCCGGGAUGAUAAUGACAGUACCGGGAGAAUAAGCGCCGGCUAACUCCGUG